rnacentral:lncRNA from 1 species
UUUUACCCCCUCUUUCUCUUGUGUUUCUAGAUGGUCUUUCUUUUUUACUUUUCUUAAAUUAUUUUCUGGAUCAUCUUUCUUAAAGUAAUAAAACAACCAAAUAAAGUCUUUAUAAUUUUCAUGUAACAAACUGUGUUAGUUUUGUUUCCUAUUGCUGCAAUAAAAAUAACUCUGACAAAGGCAACUUAGGUUUAAGGAAUAGUUUAUUUUAGUUCUCAGUUCCAGGCUGUAGUCCAUCACUACAGGGAAGUCACAACAGUGGGAGCUUGGGGGCGUUGGUUAUAUCCAAAAUUAGGAGCAGAGAAUAAUGAAUGUGUGUGUGCUUCUAAUGCUCAGCUCACUCUCUUCAUUCAGUCCAAACCAAUUAGAGCGGUAGUCCUCCACCUCCCUAAUGCUGCGACCCUGUAAUACAGUUCCUCCUAUUAUGGUGAACCCCAACCAUAAAAUUAUUCAUUGCUACUUCAUAACUGUAAUUUUGCUACUGCUGUGAAUGGUAAUAUAAAUAUCUAAUUUGUAGGAUAUGUGAUAUUGGCUUCCAGGGGUUGAGACCCACAGAUUAGAACUGCUGGAUUAAUACAAGACCCCACCUUCAAUGUGGCUUUUCCCAUCUCCAUCAACUCAAUUAAGAAAAUCUCUCAUAAACCAGCCUAGUCUAGACAGUUCUACAUUGAGACUCCCUUCAUGGGUGAGUCUAGAUUAUGUCAAAUUGACAAGCAAACUAACCAUAACACAAAGCAUUAAUUACAUUUUAAUACUCAUCAGUGUUAGUUCAAAUGAAACUUGAGCAAUUUAUUCAUUUCAUCUCAAGUCUAACCAGGUAUAUAUGAAGUACCAUAGAACACAGGAUAUCUCAUAAACAUCUGCCUUCUACUACAUUAUAGGUUGUGCCAUGCCAGAGUCUGGUUUACAUUUAUUUUAAGAACAUUUUGCACACCCUUUAUCUGCUUUCUAGAAUAAGAUGUAGAUAGAUAUUUUAAAUUAUAUGUUGUUUUGUUUUAUGAAAGGAUCUCACUGUAUAUUCUUGGCUGUCCUGGGAACUCAUAUAGACCAGAUUGGCCUUAAACUCAACAGAGAUCUGCCUACCAACUGCUGGAGUUAAAGGCAGACUAAAGGCACGACAUCCAGUGAUGUUCUUACAAUCUAAUUGACUUAUAGAUGCCAGUUUAUCAGCAUAUUAAUCACACUGUACAGUUUGUUUUUCCAGACUUCAGUUCUUCAGAGGUAAAAAUGCUGUCUUUAAAUUUUGUGCUAUUUUCUCUGCUACUAUGAUGGACUUCCCAAUUGUUGAUUCAGUUAUUUGGACUGCUUUGAGAUGAUGUAAUAUAUUUAACAAGAAAUGAUUUUUUUUCUCCUUUGCAACCUUCUAUUAAAUUGUUUGGACAAGCAUUUCCUCAUUUUCUUUCUCUCAUUUUGUGAAGCCUCUUAAAGAACAGAAAGUUGAAGACUUAGAUUCUAAUUCAGAUUUUGACAAAUCUAUUCUGAAAGAACAUUUAAUAGCAGAGCUGAUAGAAUAACUUGUUUGAGUAGAUACAUAUAUUUAGCAGCAAGAGGAAGGAGAGUGGAGAGGUCAUGUGAUGACCUUCUAGGAGAAUUACACAUAAGUAUGUCUUAAGAAGAGUAAACAGACUAGCAUCAGUUGGGAUUAAGGAACCUACUUUAAACAAGUUGUGGAUUUUUUUUUUCAGGUUUCUAAACUAGAAGUUAUCAGAAUCCAGCUGGGACUUUAAAUAUGGAGGAAUAGUGUAAUUAAGAACUUGAACACUGCCAUGUACAGAAACACAUGCCUUUAGUCCCAUCACUCAGGGCAGAAGCAGGAGGAUCGCUGUGAGAAGUCAUCCUGGUCUAUAUUCUGAGACUCUAUCUCAAAACCAAACAACCAGGCGUGGUGGUGCAUGCCUUUAAUCUCAGCACUUGGGAGGCAGAGGCAGGUGGAUUUCUAAGUUCAAGGCCAGCCUGCUCUACAGAGUGAGUUCCAGGACAGCCAGGGCCACGCAGAGAAACCCUGUCUCAAAAAAAAAAAAAAAAAGUUGAACACUAACUCCUGUAUCGCAGUAUAUUUCCAUGUUUAAAAUAGAGCUACUUGUAUCUAUCUCAAUGCUAUAACUAUUAUACAAAAUACUAUUUUAAAAUACAGAAAAUAGUAAACAGAAUACAAUAAGACACAAAAUGUUAUUUACUGGUAUGUUAGGUGGGAAAGGGGGCAAAGGAAGAGUGCAUCCCUAAAAGUAAGGUUUUCUUCUGUCUAGUUUCUUACAAUGAACUUUGAACAACAGUCACUUUUCUUAAUCUAUGAUAAUAUAUGUUGUGCCAUUGUUUCCUACUGUAUAGUGAAGAGGGGUUAGUAGUUAUUAAUUCCGGUUUUAGAUGAUGAACCGAGGUGUUAGGUUUAUGGUGAAGCACAUUAGAAUUGAAAUUCAAGUCGUCUGGUGUAUAAUGCUUUUUCUAUCAUGGUAUGGUAUUACCAGGUCUUAAUCUGUUAGUGGUUAUUGGUAUUUGCAUUCAAGCUAUUUUGCCUUUAAGAAACCAAAAGAUGAGCCGGGCAUGGUGGUGCACACCUUUAAUCCCAGCACUUGGGAGGCAGAGACAGGUGGAUUUCUGAGUUCCAGGCCAGUUUGGUCUACAGAGUGAGUACCAGGACAGCCAAGGCUAUAUAGAGAAACCCUGUCUCGAAAAACC